CCGAGUUUACAACUCCCAAACCCAAAUGUGAACAUACCUUCAGUUGCUUCGGCGGACUCGCCCCAGCGUCCGGAUGGCCUCGUGCCACCCGCGGCCUGGAGCCAGGCGGCCGCCGAAGACCACCAAAACUCUCUGUAUUGUCCAGUCUCUUCUGAAUCCGCCGCAAGGCACUACAAAUGAAUCA
rnacentral:misc_RNA from 1 species